rnacentral:rRNA from 1 species
GCUGGCGGAAUGCUUACACAUGCAAGUCGAGCGGCAGCGCGGGGCAACCUGGCGGCGAGCGGCGAACGGGUGAGUAAUCAUCGGAACGUACCCAGUUGUGGGGGAUAGCCCGGCGAAAGCCGGAUUAAUACCGCAUACGACCUGAGGGUGAAAGGGGGGGAUCGCAAGACCUCUCGCAGUUGGAGCGGCCGAUGGCGGAUUAGCUAGUUGGUGAGGUAAAGGCUCACCAAGGCGACGAUCCGUAGCUGGUCUGAGAGGACGACCAGCCACACUGGAACUGAGACACGGUCCAGACUCCUACGGGAGGCAGCAGUGGGGAAUUUUGGACAAUGGGGGCAACCCUGAUCCAGCCAUUCCGCGUGAGUGAAGAAGGCCUUCGGGUUGUAAAGCUCUUUCGGCAGGAACGAAACGGUGGUCCCUAAUACGGAUUGCUAAUGACGGUACCUGAAGAAGAAGCACCGGCUAACUACGUGCCAGCAGCCGCGGUAAUACGUAGGGUGCGAGCGUUAAUCGGAA